rnacentral:rRNA from 1 species
UGGGGGAUAUUGCACAAUGGGCGCAAGCCUGAUGCAGCGACGCCGCGUGGGGGAUGAAGGCCUUCGGGUUGUAAACUUCUUUUGCUCUGAACAAGGCGCACUUUGGGGUGUGUUGAGUGUAGGGGUUGAUUAGCGCCGGCUAACUACGUGCCAGCAGCCGCGGUAAUACGUAGGGCGCGAGCGUUGUCCGGAAUUAUUGGGCGUAAAGGGCUUGUAGGUGGCUGGUUGCGUCUGUCGUGAAAGCUCAUGGCUUAACUGUGGGUUUGAGGUGGGUACGGGCUGGCUUGAGUGCAGUAGGGGAGGCUGGAAUUCCUGGUGUAGCGGUGGAAUGCGCAGAUAUCAGGAGGAAUACCGGUGGCGAAGGCGGGUCUCUGGGCUGUUACUGACACUGAGGAGCGAAAGCAUGGGGAGCGAACAGG